GAGAAGAACGUAGCGAAAUGCGAUAAGUAAUGUGAAUUGCAGAAUUCAGUGAAUCAUCGAAUCUUUGAACGCACAUUGCGCCCCCUGGUAUUCCGGGGGGCAUGCCUGUUCGAGCGUCAUUUCACCACUCAAGCCUCGCUUGGUAUUGGGCAACGCGGUCCGCCGCGUGCCUCAAAUCGACCGGCUGGGUCUUCUGUCCCCUAAGCGUUGUGGAAACUAUUCGCUAAAGGGUGUUCGGGAGGCUACGCCGUAAAACAACCCCAUUUCUAAGGUUGACCUCGGAUCAGGUAGGGAUACCCGCUGAACUUAAGCAUAUCAAUAAGCGGAGGA
rnacentral:misc_RNA from 1 species